rnacentral:rRNA from 1 species
UGGGGAAUUUUGGACAAUGGGCGAAAGCCUGAUCCAGCAAUGCCGUGUGUGUGAAGAAGGCCUUCGGGUUGUAAAGCACUUUUGUCCGGAAAGAAAUCCUUGGCUCUAAUACAGUCGGGGGAUGACGGUACCGGAAGAAUAAGCACCGGCUAACUACGUGCCAGCAGCCGCGGUAAUACGUAGGGUGCAAGCGUUAAUCGGAAUUACUGGGCGUAAAGCGUGCGCAGGCGGUUUGCUAAGACCGAUGUGAAAUCCCCGGGCUCAACCUGGGAACUGCAUUGGUGACUGGCAGGCUAGAGUAUGGCAGAGGGGGGUAGAAUUCCACGUGUAGCAGUGAAAUGCGUAGAGAUGUGGAGGAAUACCGAUGGCGAAGGCAGCCCCCUGGGCCAAUACUGACGCUCAUGCACGAAAGCGUGGGGAGCAAACAGGAUUAGAUACCCUGGUAGUCCACGCCCUAAAACGAUGUCAACUAGUUGUUGGGGAUUCAUUUCCUUAGUAACGUAGCUAACGCGUGAAGUUGACCGCCUGGGGAGUACGGUCGC